CUUGGUCAUUUAGAGGAAGUAAAAGUCGUAACAAGGUUUCCGUAGGUGAACCUGCGGAAGGAUCAUUAUUGACUGUGAAUCGUUGCCUUCAGUGCUGGCUCCGGCAAGUGCACGUUGGUGACUUUCAUCCAACACUCUUGUGAACCUUUGGCCUCUUGCUGGCCUCGGCUGGCAGAGGAUUUUUACACCCACUCGCAUGUAAUGAAAUUAUUGUCGUGCGCAAGCACUAAUGUACAACUUUCAACAACGGAUCUCUUGGCUCUCGCAUCGAUGAAGAACGCAGCGAAAUGCGAUAAGUAAUGUGAAUUGCAGAAUUCAGUGAAUCAUCGAAUCUUUGAACGCACCUUGCACCCUUUGGCAUUCCGAAGGGUAUGCUCGUUUGAGUGUCAUUGUACUCUCACACUUCUCAUCCUUUGGAUUUGGAGCGGUGGACUUGGGUGUUGCCGCUUUACGGUGGCUCACCUCUAAUGCAUUAGUGCAACUCUUGGUUGGACAUAGUACGGCGUGAUAAGUGUCUUCGCCGGCACCUCGCAAGAGGGUGGCUGAUUGAGAGCUCUGUGCUUUCAAACCGUCCUUGGACAAUGACUGACAACUUGACCUCAAAUCGAGUAGGACUACCCGCUGAACUUAAGCAUAUCAAUAAGCGGAGGA
rnacentral:rRNA from 1 species